AGCUGGUCUGAGAGGAUGAUCAGCCACACUGGGACUGAGACACUGCCCAGACUCCUACGGGAGGCUGCAGUCGAGGAUCAUUGUCAAUGCGCGAAAGCGUGAACAUGCGACGCUGCGUGGAGGAUGACGGCCCUAGGGUUGUAAACUCCUGUCAUGAGGGAAAAACCGUUCCAUCUUUAAUAGGGGUGGGACCUGAUGGUACCUCAAGAGGAAGCCACGGCUAACUCUGUGCCAGCAGCCGCGGUAAUACAGAGGUGGCAAGCGUUGUUCGGAUUUACUGGGCGUAAAGCGUGCGUAGGUGGCUUCGUGUGUCGGGUGUGAAAUCCCAUGGCUCAACUGUGGAAUUGCAUUCGAAACUGCGGAGCUAGAGUGCAGGAGGGGAGAGCGGAAUUCUUGGUGUAGCGGUGAAAUGCGUUGAUAUCAAGAAGAACACCGGUGGCGAAGGCGGCUCUCUGGAAUGUUACUGACACUGAGGCACGAAAGCUGGGGGAGCAAACAGGAUUAGAUACCCUGGUAGUCCCAGCCGUAAACGGUGCGCACUUGGUGUUGGGGGUGUUGACCCCCCCAGUGCCGGAGUUAACGCGUUAAGUGCGCCGCCUGGGGAGUACGGUCGCAAGAUUAAAACUCAAAGAAAUUGACGGGGGCCCGCACAAGCGGAGGAGCAUGUGGCUUAAUUCGAUGCAACGCGAAGAACCUUACCAGGGCUUGACAUAUACCUGCAUGCCCUGUGAAAGCAGGGAGGCCUUCGAGGGUGGUAUACAGGUGCUGCAUGGCUGUCGUCAGUUCGUGCCGUGAGGUGUUGGGUUAAGUCCCGCAACGAACGCAACCCCUGUAUCUAGUUGCCACCGCAGGUGAUGAGCCUGCGAGCACUCUAGAUAGACUGCCCGUACAAGCGGGAGGAAGGUGGGGACGACGUCAAGUCAGUAUGGCCCUUACGUCCUGGGCUGCACACGUGCUACAAUGGUCGGUACAGAGGGAUGCGAGACCGCGAGGUGGAGCAAAUCCCCAAAACCGGCCUCAGUUCGGAUUGGAGUCUGCAACUCGACUCCAUGAAGUUGGAUUCGCUAGUAACGGCGCAUCAGCUACGGCGCCGUGAAUACGUUCCCGGGCCUUGUACACACCGCCCGUCACAUCAUGAAAGCCGUCUGCACCCGAAGUCGCUGAGCCAACCCGCAAGGGAGGCAGGUGCCGAAGGUGUGGGUGGUGAUUGGGAUGAAGUCGAAACAAGGUA
rnacentral:rRNA from 1 species